GACGAACGCUGGCGGCGUGCUUAACACAUGCAAGUCGAACGGUAAGGCCCUUCGGGGUACACGAGUGGCGAACGGGUGAGUAACACGUGGGUGAUCUGCCCUGCACUUCGGGAUAAGCCUGGGAAACUGGGUCUAAUACCGGAUAGGACCACUGCCUGCAUGGGCGGUGGUGGAAAGCUUUUGCGGUGUGGGAUGGGCCCGCGGCCUAUCAGCUUGUUGGUGGGGUGAUGGCCUACCAAGGAGACGACGGGUAGCCGGCCUGAGAGGGUGACCGGCCACACUGGGACUGAGAUACUGCCCAGACUCCUACGGGAGGCAGCAGUGGGGAAUAUUGCACAAUGGGCGCAAGCCUGAUGCAGCGACGCCGCGUGAGGGAUGACGGCCUUCGGGUUGUAAACCUCUUUCAGCACCGACGAAGCGCAAGUGACGGUAGGUGCAGAAGAAGGACCGGCCAACUACGUGCCAGCCGCCGCGGUAAUAC
rnacentral:rRNA from 1 species